AUCGGCUUUUUUAGCUUGUUGUCAAAGAUAAUGUCCAAGACGAAUAACCAAGAAGUUGGUUAUUGACUUCGGAAGAAAUGACAUUACGAUAAUAUUACUGAAAAGCCCGAGUGUACCGAUUGUUGUUUAAAGCUAUUUAUAUAUUUUUGUGACGACAUACAAUUCAUGGAAAACACCAUACAGCAUGGCUUACAUGGACAUGGAGGCGAAGUAAAAACCAGCACAUCCAACCUUGGUAAGAUGUUAUAACAACACAC
rnacentral:lncRNA from 1 species